rnacentral:rRNA from 1 species
CUGGCGGCGUGCCUAACACAUGCAAGUCGAACGAGCGAGAGAUGAAACCUAGUGAUUCUCGAGCGAGUGGCGGACGGGUGAGUAACGCGUGGGCAACCUGCCUUACAGAGGGGGAUAACAGUCUGAAAAGACUGCUAAUACCGCAUAAGCACACAGUACCGCAUGGUACAGGGUGAAAAGAUUUUAUCACUGUAAGAUGGACCCGCGUCUGAUUAGCCAGUUGGCAGGGUAACGGCCUACCAAAGCGACGAUCAGUAGCCGACCUGAGAGGGUGAUCGGCCACAUUGGGACUGAGACACGGCCCAAACUCCUACGGGAGGCAGCAGUGGGGGAUAUUGCACAAUGGAGGAAACUCUGGUGCAGCCGACGCCGCGUGAGUGAAGAAGUAUUUCGGUAUGUAAAGCUCUAUCAGCAGGGAAGAUAAUGACAGUACCUGACCAAGAAGCCCCGGCUAACUACGUGCCAGCCGCCGC